rnacentral:lncRNA from 1 species
CUCUCCCUUUUGGUCUCUCUUCCUGUGUUAUUGCAUGCACUGCUACAGGGCCCUGCACAUUUAUGACAGUCCUGCAGCUCCUCCAAUCUGUAUGCAUUUCUCUAAACUAAGAUCAGUCUCUCUGAGCAAGCGCUCUCUUAGGCCACACACAAUCCUGUCCCUGAUAAGAGAGUCUGUGAUUACUCCAAAGUCGCAGGUGGCCACUAGAGUCCUCACUUCAUUGAGAUAUUUGUCUAAACUCUCAUCUUGGCCCUGACUUCGCAUUAAAAAAUUAUCUCUCAAUUGUUUCAUUUUUCUUGGGAUCACAAAAUGCAUCCAGUGCUGCAAUUACUUCUUCAACAAAGAGAUUGUCUUUUGUACUGCCCACACAUAGGGUCUCACAAAUCUCUCUGCCUUUUUCCCCAAUGAGAUAAUAGAGUAGCUUCACUUUGUAGUCAUCACGUUUUUCUCUCAUUGUAAGAGCCAUGUACAAAUUCAAUUCCUCUUUCCAUCUUUUCCAGGUCAGUGCUAAAUUACAAUCAUCAAAGUCUAUUUUUCCCGUAGGUUUCAGUGCAUUUUCCAUGGCGAUUUAGUUGUAGAAUGGAACGUUAGCUACUCACGAAUCUGCUUGUAUCCAAUAGCCAGCUAGCUUUUAGCACAGAGUCACUCACGAUAGCCAGUUAACGUAGACGUUCGGCGCGAUGACUAGCCUGUAAACGCGGCACUUUUUCAAACUGUCGCCUGGGAUGUAUUCUUCAUUUACAUCGAUGAGAUACAGGUUCUUUUGAGUACCGCUGCCACCAUGUUUCAAUAUGCUUUGUGUUGUAGUCAUGACAGACAAAGAUAUAUAGUUAAGCAAACUUUACUAGGCAUGUUGUCGACCAGCACAUUAAUAAACGAGAAGCGUCGCUGGAGCCGUGUGAUAUGGGACCCUCUGCACACAUCAACAACAGCCACCCUCGAAGCAUCAUUACCCAUCGCUCCACAAAAGCCGCGGCUCUUGCAGAGCAAGGGGAACAACUACUUCAAGGUCUCAGAGCGAGUGACGUCACCGAUUGAAACGCUAUUAGCGCGCACCCCGCUAUCUAGCUAGCCAUUUCACAUCAGUUACACAAGUAAAAAGAAAACAAGCAUAAGCUAGCAUAAUGACUGUUGUGACCUUUUAUUAUUGUCCUUUGUGAGCUAGCCAGCUAGUUAAC